rnacentral:rRNA from 1 species
AUAAUAAUUAAUUUACUUUAUUUCUUUUUUUUUCUCUUUUUAUAGAAAUAACUUCUUUUUUAGUAGGUUUUACAGAAAUAAUAUUUUUUGUGGUAGUUAAUUAGUACUGUGAGGGAUUAUUUAUUUAUUUAUUAAAAGGAGAUUUAAUUUGUUGUACCUUUUGUAUCAGGGAUAAUUAAUUAUUUUUAUUUAUUUAAUUUUCCCGAAAUUAGGGGAGAUAUUAUUGUAUGUUAGUUAAUGUUUCAUAAUUAUUAAUAAUUCAAUAAUAGUAAUGAAAAGUUAUUCGUUCUUAAAUAUCUGGUUUUUCAGGAAUUGAAUUCAAUUCAGAGUUAUUUUUAUUUAUAUUCUAAAUUUAAUUAGAUUAUGAUUUUUAUAGCUUAAGGAUUUUGGGGAUAAGCUCAGGAUUUUUUUUAUAAUUUUAUUUUUUUGUUUAGUUUUUGUAGGCUUGGAAUCAGCCAUCAUUAAUUUCGUUAUAGAUUAUUCUUUUUUUUUAUUUAUUUGUUUAAAUUUAAUUUAUUACUGAAUUAUAUUAAUUAAUUUUAUAUUAUUAGUAAUAAUGAUUGUAUUAGUAUAUUUGAUAGUUGAAUUAUAGGAAUUCGGCAAAUAUUGUGUCCGCCUGUUUAACAAAAACAUGUCCUUUUGGUUGUUUAUAUUAGGUUUGACCUGCCCAAUGAGUUUUUUAAUGGCCGCGGUAUAUUAACCGUGCUAAGGUAGCAUAAUCACUUGUCUUUUAAUUGAGGGCUUGUAUGAAUGGUCGGACGAGGCACAAACUUUCUUUACUUCAAUUUUAAAAUUUAUCUUUUUAGUUAAAAGACUAAAAUAAUUCUGAGGGACGAGAAGACCCUAUAGAUCUUUAUAUAAAUAGAAUUUUAGAUUUUUUAGGAUAUUAUUAGUUUAAUUUUUAUUUGUAUUUGAUUGGGGUGAUUGCGGAAAAUUUAUAACUUCUGUUUUAUGUGUUCAUUGAUUAGUGUUUAAAUGAUCCAUUAUUAAUGAUUAUAAGAUUAAGUUACCUUAGGGAUAACAGCGUAAUUUUUUCGGAGAGUUCAUAUCGAUGAAGGAGUUUGCGACCUCGAUGUUGGAUUAAAAUAAGUGUUAGGUGUAGCAAUUUAAUGACUAGGUCUGUUCGACCUUUAAUUUUUUACAUGAUCUGAGUUCAGACCGGCGUAAGCCAGGUCAGUUUCUAUCUUCAGUUUUUAUUUAUAUUUUAGUACGAAAGGACCGAAUAUAAGAAAAAAUUUUUGCUUGGCUGAUUAAUAUUACUAUUUUGGCAGAUUAGUGCAG